GUGAGUAUAGUUCAGUGGUAGAGCAUGUGCUUAGCGUGCAUGAUGUCCUGGAUUCAAUCCCUAGUACCUCCA
rnacentral:tRNA from 1 species